CACGGGGGGGGCAAGCGUUGUUCGGAAUUACUGGGCGUAAAGGGCUCGUAGGCGGCCAACUAAGUCAGACGUGAAAUCCCCAGGCUCAACCUGGGAACUGCGUCUGAUACUGGAUGGCUUGAAUCCGGGAGAGGGAUGCAGAAUUCCAGGUGUAGCGGUGAAAUGCGUAGAUAUCUGGAGGAAUACCGGUGGCGAAGGCGGCAUCCUGGACCGGCAUUGACGCUGAGGAGCGAAAGCCAGGGGAGCAAACGGG
rnacentral:rRNA from 1 species